GUUCAUUAUGGUAGACUGAACACUUGAAUAUAUAUAGCGACCAGGAUCCAGCUGAACCUUAUCAUUAACGAUGAAAACAUUACUAGUUUUAUUGUUAGUUUUUUCUCUUCUGACAACAACACUUUGCACCGAUGAGGGUGUAAAAGUGUCAGAUGUUGCCGGAGAGAGCCGACUGAGGAGAGCAUUGAGUCAAAGAGUGUUUUUAAACAAGGAGGCAAAGGGCUUAAAACCUUGAUGCAGCGGAUGAAAGAAAUGAAACUAAUUUAAGACUGCGACAGAUAUCCAAACAAUUGAUUCAAGUCGUCAGCAGUCCUAAAUUAGUUGCUUUUCUACAAAGUUCAUCAACAUUGUAUUCACCGCCGGGAACAGUGUGACUACUGGAUACUAAAAGCUUCAAUAGGGCAAGUUCCAGUAAGAUGAUACCUUUGGUAAAGAAUCAAUGUACUGUAUAUAUGUGUACAUAUAUUGUUAACUUCAAAUUGUAUAAACAAAAUGUACGGCUCGUCAUUGUGUAGUGUCAUCUACUUGUAUGUACUUUUACGCAGGACUAAUGUUAUUUAACUAAUGCAUUUUAUACCAAUUACUGCUACAUGUUAAAAGAAAUUAUAUCAAAUAAUUCUGUUUCUCAAUAAAAACGCACAAUAAAAUAUAUACACACCUAAUAUCCUUAUAUGCUUUAGAUUAAAUGGUAUUAUAUUGCUUAUCAUUCUGCUUUUGUAUACUUAUUUGUACACAAAAUUUAAUAAACUCUAAUGUUA